rnacentral:rRNA from 1 species
AUUGAACGCUGGCGGCAUGCCUUACACAUGCAAGUCGAACGGUAACAGGCCGCAAGGUGCUGACGAGUGGCGAACGGGUGAGUAAUGCAUCGGUACGUGCCCAGUCGUGGGGGAUAACUGCUCGAAAGAGCAGCUAAUACCGCAUACGACCUGAGGGUGAAAGCGGGGGACCGUAAGGCCUCGCGCGAUUGGAGCGGCCGAUGUCAGAUUAGGUAGGUGGUGGGGUAAAGGCCUACCAAGGCAACGAUCUGUAGUUGGUCUGAGAGGACGACCAGCCACACUGGUACUGAGACACGGCCCAGACUCCUACGGGAGGCAGCAGUGGGGAAUUUUGGACAAUGGGCGCAAGCCUGAUCCAGCAAUGCCGCGUGCAGGAAGAAGGCCUUCGGGUUGUAAACUGCUUUUGUCAGGGAAGAAAUCUUCUGGGCUAAUACCCCGGGAGGAUGACGGUACCUGAAGAAUAAGCACCGGCUAACUACGUGCCAGCAGCCGCAGUAAUAC